AGCCGUGUAAUCAUCAGUUUGUAAUAACAGAGAAAAGGUUUCAGUCAUUUGUUAAUUGCUACAAAAACCUGUGUGUGUGCACUUCUUUGUGUUUAUCUCCAUUGAGCCAUAGAGAGAAAAGCUGAGUGCGCGUGCGUCGCCAUUGUCGUGUCCACUACAAUUUGCCACUUGUGCGUGUGUGCCAUCGCUUGAGUUCGCUGCUCGCCGCGGAGCCUAAGUCAGGACUAGUCAUACUGACAUGCCAAGAGAAGACUGAAGCGAAUCAUGCAUGAAGCGAAGCAAUCGCUGAUCCUGACAUUGUCCCUGCCGGCAGAACAUGUUCUCUGAUACCUCCUAUGUCUAUUUCAAUCGAGAAAGGAAGGCAGAGAGGUAAAAGAAGUGAAUUAAAAAGGUACUCUGUUCCUCACUUUCUCCUUCUGCCAUUCCCAUAAGAAUCACCAAAUAACAUGGAAUUCAGGCAGUGUUGGUUACUCUCUGUCAAUGACCAUAUAUAUGGUCCAUAUGUAUAAAUACUCGGCAAUCAACAUGAACUGGACAAGGACUGAGUCAUUGUUUUUAGCCCUUAACAUUUACUUCUACAACUUAAGGUACCAUCUUUUGCCAUAACGAAGAACUUAAGACUCCAUUUUAAAGGAAGAUCAAGGGGCAAGACAUUGAACCUUUUGUGUGGGGUUAUAUUUCAUCUCAUUGGCAGAAUAUUUUUUUCCUUUGUUUUUACAUAAUUCAGAAGAAGAGUGCCAUGUGCUCAAGGAAAUAUAAGUCCAAUAGUAGUUCAAUUGGUUAGCUUUUCAGUAAUAUUUAUUCUGCUUUUUGAUAUUUGAGAGAUACCCAUGGAUAAUGCUUGCUGCCUC